rnacentral:snoRNA from 1 species
UUUCCUGAUGAUAACCAUAAUGUGUCUUGAAGACUCUGUCUGUGUAAGCACUCAAUAGACUACAACGGUAUCUGAAA